GAUUAACGCUGGCGGCGUGCAUAACACAUGCAAGUCGAACGAUGAAACUCAUUAGAUUUCUUCGGAAUGAAAAUGAAUGGAUUAGUGGCGAACGGGUGAGUAACGCGUGAGUAACCUGCCUUACACAAGGGGAUAGCCUCUGGAAACGGAGAAUAAUACCCUAUGAAACCAGACAAUCGCAUGAUAAUCUGGUCAAAAUGUUUAGUGGUGUAAGAUGGACUUGCGUCUGAUUAGCUAGUUGGUGAGAUAAAAGCUCACCAAGGCAACGAUCAGUAGCCGGCUUGAGAGAGUGUACGGCCACAUUGGGACUGGGACACGGCCCAGACUCCUACGGGAGGCAGCAGGGGGGAAUUUGGCACAAUGGGGGAAACCCUGAUGCAGCGGCGCCGCGAGAUUUAGAAGGCCUUCGGGUUGUAAAAAUCUUUUGUAUAGGAAGAAAAUGACAGUACUAUACGAAUAAGGUCCGGCUAAUUACGUG
rnacentral:rRNA from 1 species